rnacentral:rRNA from 1 species
GACGAACGCUGGCGGCGUGCUUAACACAUGCAAGUCGAGCGGUAAGGCCCUCGGGUACGACGAGCGGCGAACGGGUGAGUAACACGUGGGUGGACCUGCCUCUAGCUCUGGGAUAAGCCUGGGAAACGUAGGGUCGUAAUACCGGAUAUGACUCCACGGCGCAUGUUGUGGGGUGGAAAGCCUUGUGUGGCUAGAGAUGGG